CUUGGUCAUUUAGAGGAAGUAAAAGUCGUAACAAGGUUUCCGUAGGUGAACCUGCGGAAGGAUCAUUAUUGAUUUUUAAAGGAUGUGCUGGCUGCCCUAUCACAGGUUUGCAUGUGCACUCCACAAAAUCUUCAUUCUCUACACCAUUGUGCACAACCCAGUAGGCAAAACAGGUUCACAGAGCAAUCUGUGCACAUUGUCUGCCUAUGCUUUUUAUACCAAACCCCAAUAAUAUGUCAGAAUGAUGUAUUGCAGUAAGCUUUCACAAGCUGAAAUUAAUACAACUUUCAACAAUGGAUUUCUUGGUUCUCGCAUCGAUGAAGAACGCAGCGAAUUGCGAUAUGUAAUGUGAAUUGCAGAAUUCAGUGAAUCAUCGAAUCUUUGAACGCACCUUGCACUCUUUGGUCUUCCAAAGGGUAUGCCUGUUUGAGUAUCAUUAAUAAUAUCAACACAAAUCAACUUGAUAUGUGCUUGGAUGUUGAAGGUAUGCUGGCUUUGCAGUUGGCUCCUUUUAAAUGAAUUAGCAGAACUAUUAGGACUGGCUUCGGUUUGAUAAUUAGCUUUUAUCUAUUGCUGUUGCUUGCCACUUUUGUUCAGCUGAUAAUUGUCCUUGGACUGUCUCUUAAGACAUAAAAAUUCUUAAAUUGAUCUCAAAUCAGGUAGGACUACCCGCUGAACUUAAGCAUAUCAAUAAGCGGAGGA
rnacentral:rRNA from 1 species